AACUGGGAGCCUAGAGUUCAGAAGGGGCAGAUGGAAUUAGUGGUGUAGGGGUAAAAUCCGUAGAUAUCACUAGGAAUAUCAAAAGCGAAGGCGAUCUGCUGGGAUGAUACUGACGCUGAGGCACGAAAGCGUGGGGAGCAAACAGGAUUAGAUACCCUGGUAGUCCACGCCCUAAACGAUGAAUGCUAGUCGUCGGGGAGCUCGUCUCUUCGGUGAUGCACUUAACAGAUUAAGCAUUCCGCCUGGGGAGUACGGUCGCAAGAUUAAAACUCAAAGGAAUAGACGGGGACCCGCACAAGUGGUGGAGCAUGUGGUUUAAUUCGAAGAUACACGAAGAACCUUACCUGGCCUUGACAUGGUAGGAACCCUUAAGAGAUUAGGGGGUGCUAGCUUGCUAGAACCUACACACAGGUGCUGCACGGCUGUCGUCAGCUCGUGUCGUGAGAUGUUGGGUUAAGUCCCGCAACGAGCGCAACCCUCGUCUUUAGUUGCUAACAGUUAGGCUGAGCACUCUAAAGAGACUGCCUCCGUAAGGAGGAGGAAGGUGAGGACGACGUCAAGUCAUCAUGGCCCUUACGGCCAGGGCUACACACGUGCUACAAUGGGGCGUACAGAGGGCUGCAAUACCGCGAGGUGGAGCCAAUCCCUUAAAGCGUCUCUCAGUUCGGAUUGUUCUCUGCAACUCGGGAACAUGAAGCUGGAAUCACUAGUAAUCGUAGAUCAGCUAUGCUACGGUGAAUACGUUCCCGGGUCUUGUACUCACCGCCCGUCACACCAUGGGAGUUGAUUUCACCCGAAAUCGGGAUGCCAAACUGGCUACCGCUUACGGUGGAAUUAGCGACUGGGGUG
rnacentral:rRNA from 1 species